UAUAUUUGUUUUGCAAGUGACAGUAACUGUUCGGAAUUUCUGUUGUUGUCUGUUGUCUGCAAUCCGAUCAAAGAAUUCUUAAGUGUGCCAUCAGCCAGGAUCAGUUGCAGCAAUUUGUUUGUUCUUUGCCGUGGCCAUCCGAGCUAGACUUUUUGUUACCUUUAUCUACAACGUGCUCGCUAUCAUCGCAAUUAAUUAUUGGUAGCAGAUUCUUUACCCGAUCGACCAUUAUUGGAUUGGAAAUGGCUUCCCGAGUGACUUCCCAAGUUGGCGUGCCUUGUGAUAAAAGGAUAUGGACUUUCACGCAUUUCUGUUACUUAUAUUACAAUUUUCCAUCAAAAUUGAGAACGCAUCAGAAUUUCGCAUCAAUAAAGCAUGAAUAAUCUUCCACCUUCACCAGCAGCUCGGCCAGCUGUGCAAAUUGGCACAGCUGUUAAAUAAUGUUAUUUAUUAAUUAUUGAUAAAUUGUUAUUAAAUAUUUCCUGAAAACGAA